rnacentral:rRNA from 1 species
AUUGAACGCUGGCGGCAUGCCUUACACAUGCAAGUCGAACGGUAACAGGUCUUCGGAUGCUGACGAGUGGCGAACGGGUGAGUAAUACAUCGGAACGUGCCCGAUCGUGGGGGAUAACGGAGCGAAAGCUUUGCUAAUACCGCAUAAGAUCUAAGGAUGAAAGCAGGGGACCGCAAGGCCUUGCGCGAACGGAGCGGCCGAUGGCAGAUUAGGUAGUUGGUGGGAUAAAAGCUUACCAAGCCGACGAUCUGUAGCUGGUCUGAGAGGACGACCAGCCACACUGGGACUGAGACACGGCCCAGACUCCUACGGGAGGCAGCAGUGGGGAAUUUUGGACAAUGGGCGCAAGCCUGAUCCAGCCAUGCCGCGUGCAGGAUGAAGGCCUUCGGGUUGUAAACUGCUUUUGUACGGAACGAAAAGACUCUUUCUAAUAAAGAGAGUCCAUGACGGUACCGUAAGAAUAAGCACCGGCUAACUACGUGCCAGCCGCCGCCGUAAUAC